UACGGAGGGUGCGAGCGUUGUCCGGAAUCAUUGGGCGUAAAGGGCGCGUAGGUGGCCCGGUCAGUCUUUGGUGAAAGCGCGGGGCUCAACCCUGCGUCGGCCAGGGAUACUGCCGCGGCUCGAGCACUGUAGAGGCAGGCGGAAUUCCGGGUGUAGAGGUGAAAUUCGUAGAUAUUCGGAAGAACACCAGUGGCGAAGGCGACAUACUGGUCCGUUACUGACGCUGAGGCUCGAAAGCGUGGGGAGCAAACAGG
rnacentral:rRNA from 1 species